GGAGCCGUAGUUCACCGGCAGAACGCGAUCCUUAUAAGAUCGAUGUACUUGGUCCGACUCCAAGCGGCUCCA
rnacentral:tRNA from 1 species